rnacentral:rRNA from 1 species
GACGAACGCUGGCGGCGUGCUUAACACAUGCAAGUCGAACGGAAAGGCCCUGCUUUUGUGGGGUGCUCGAGUGGCGAACGGGUGAGUAACACGUGAGUAACCUGCCCUUGACUUUGGGAUAACUUCAGGAAACUGGGGCUAAUACCGGAUAGGAGCUCCUGCUGCAUGGUGGGGGUUGGAAAGUUUCGGCGGUUGGGGAUGGACUCGCGGCUUAUCAGCUUGUUGGUGGGGUAGUGGCUUACCAAGGCUUUGCCGGGUAGCCGGCCUGAGAGGGUAACCGGCCACAUUGGGACUGAGCUACGGCACAGACUCCUACGGGAGGCAGCAGUGGGGAAUAUUGCACAAUGGGCGGAAGCCUGAUGCAGCAACGCCGCGUGCGGGAUGACGGCCUUCGGGUUGUAAACCGCUUUCGCCUGUGACGAAGCGUGAGUGACGGUAAUGGGUAAAGAAGCACCGGCUAACUACGUG